AGUACAAGUAGCACAUGAAAAUGAGGAGCCGGAGGACAAACCUAUGAUCCUUGAUCGCAAGGGCAAGGCGAAGGCGAUUGAAUAUCCAGAUGCGGUGCCAUGGUCCCAGUGGCAGAAAACCAUGCACGAGCUCCUUGGCGCAUCUUUUGCACAUGUGGCGGUUGUAGCUGCAAUACAGUUUGAAUGGAGAGAUGGGUUGCAGUGGUCUGGAAGCAUGGGUUCGUGGCUUCAAUGAGAGGGAGAUUAUGAUGAUGGAUAAGGUUGGCCUUCCUCUCUGGAGGUGUCUUCUAUCACCUGAUGUGCCGCUGCACCUGGAGAAUCCACAUUCUCACGAGGCUAUUGACACUUUGUGUGCUUUACUGUCUUCCCAGAAGAUUGGAUUUCAGCUGAGACUUUACCGAAUG